rnacentral:rRNA from 1 species
GUCUUUUUGAAUAUAAUUUACAGUCUAACCUGCCCACUGAAUUUUUUGAAGGGCCGCGGUAUUUUGACUGUGCAAAGGUAGCAUAAUCAUUAGUCUUUUAAUUGAAGGCUUGUAUGAAUGGUUGGAUGAGGUAAUAACUGUCUCAAAUUAAAAAAUAAUAAAAUUUUAUUUUUAAGUUAAAAAGCUUAAAUGUAAUUAGAGGACGAGAAGACCCUAUAGAUCUUUAUAUAUAAAUAAUUUUAAAUUAUUUAGUUUAAAUAUGUUUUUAUUUAUUAAUAUAUUUUAUUGGGGUGAUAAAAAAAUUUAAAAAACUUUUUUUUAAAAUAAACAAUGAUUUUUGAUUAAUUGAUCCAUUAUUAGUGAUUAAAAGAUUAAGUUACCUUAGGGAUAACAGCGUAAUUUUUUUGAAGAGUUCAUAUCGAUAAAAAAGAUUGCGACCUCGAUGUUGAAUUAAAGGUUAAUUUUAGGUGUAGAAGUUUAAAAUUUUGGUCUGUUCGACCAUUAAAUC